CCAAUAAAUAAAUAAACAUUUAAAGCAUUACAUUAUCGUCAUUGCAGGAGUGCAAUUUGCUGGUUGUCCUGUAGGUGACCUUGUAACUCUGUUGUCUUACGAUGCACUUAUGAAUGAACGAUUACUCCAGAGCACUCGUAGAUCUACGAUGAUUUUCAAGUGCAACUUAAGUUACGAAGCUUUUGGGAAACAGCCCGUAAUUCUAAGAUGAUUCGUACGAUCGUUUUUACGAUCUACUUAGCCUUACGAUGCUUUUGGGAAACCUGUUAUUGAGUCAUUCCCAGAAUAAGUGACGACUCUCCCCGUCAUUGACACAUAGUUAAACUUGCGUCCCUAUAGCUUAGUCCUGAUUUUAGCAAAGUUUGGGGUGACAAAAAUCCAGAUCGCAUUCAAGGACGCUAAUUGGUUAAAUUUUAUGUCAUUUCUUAAUUUUAAGUUUCAUUGAUGUUACAACUUACACAGAGUCUUGUAGAUGUGAACUAGCUUACCUUACAGUUAACAGACACAACAUCAACACUAACAACUUGUUAAGAAAAAAUUCUAAGAGACACACAAUAAAAAUUUAGCUUUGAAGGGUUUAACUACAAAGAAUGCUUUGCCAUCACAGAAAUAGAUGAAGUAAAAAUACUACAUACCGCAAAAUAGUUUUUUCCCCUCUAACAUCUGCUGUGUCUGCCACAGCGCUCUACUUUCUUAUGUGUUAAAUAGGAACAACACUGAACAUAUGAGGUAAUUUGUAACUUUGUAACCAAUCAGCCGUGAGGCUCUUGGACUUCAGAGCAGGAAACAAACUAUGCUAGCAUGAUGUCAUCAGACUUGAAAAACCAAGGAUUUAGUAAGAGCCAUUAGCAACAAGGAUCAGCGUCUAAAUACUUUGUGUUUCAAGUCUGUUUACAUGAUGAUAGCAUAAUUUAUGUCAUCAGCUGAUGGCUUUUGAUGGCAGUGCGUUGCUACGUUUGUGGCAGUGUUGUGUGUUUGUAACCAUUUUGGAUGAGUGAUACGGCGUGAAGACUUCGUUAUCUCUCUUGAUAUCCAAACAUGGCCAUGUCCAAGGGUCUUGGUAAUCCCAUGUUACGUGGAAUGUAAACCCAUUUGGAUGUGACUACAUUGCUGCUUUGCCUGAGUUUGUUUUAUUCCAUUUGUGUGUAUUUGUGUCCGUAAAGUGGCGACAGUAUUGACUCUUUGUCGGACUGCAUUCAUUUGGUGGUUUGGGCUGGGAAGUACCUACAACUACAUUGUCAUCUGAGUUCAGCCCUGCCUGUGACGUAUACCCAAAUGCAGGAAUUGUGGUCGCCUGUAUGAUGGAUCACCAAUGUUAUUUUCUUUUGCUAUUUUGUAUGUGGUCUUAUGUUUAAUUGUGUAUUGAAGUUGUUCACAUCUACAAAGUGGGGAUUGCCUGAGUUUGUUUACACAAUUUGCUGUGUGAAAAUUUUGUGGUGUUUUCACGAGUAUAUUAUAUAUUAAGUGUGUGGUGACUCUCCAACCCCUGCAGGCGAUCUCCCCUUGUAGAUGUGAUUUUGCUUUUUGUGUAAACUUCAACAAUAUCAUAUUUUUUCUACCUGUUGUCUAUGAAAAUAAAUUAUAUUUUGGUAAAUUAUUGUUU